GGUUCUACGCAGCUGUUGAUGGGAAGAGAGUUUAGGCAUAAUAUCAGCAGUUCAUCAGACGCUCUAUAACUAAAUUCUCUGUGUGAUGAUGACUGGGAGUGUCUGCACAUAUAUAGCUGUCUCUGUACAAUACAUCUUCGGACCAGAUGGUGCAUCCAACAUGUUAGAGAUUAUGGCUUUGUUUUCUUCUUAAAGAAGCAAAAUUCCAAGGGCCAUCCAUAUUCAGGCUCAGUACCUAUUUCCUUCAAGGAGACAUGCUGGAAAAGUGGUAUUCAUGGGUGUCUGAAUCCAGACUGUGCAUGGUCCUAUACACACUCCUUCUCAUGGACCAUUCCUCCCAGAACAGAGUCCCUUCUCGUUUGGGAAGCUGACAAUCCCCUGCUACAGCAGACUCCUCCCCAGAUGAAUUCCAUAAAUUCUGCGGUAGCCAGAAAUAGGAACACAGCUCCCUUUGCUCCUGUAAGCCUAAACCUAGUGUUUUUUCAGUGCGCUAGCAGGACAUUAUAGGGACGAGGUCCAUAAGGCUCCAAAGAAGCAAUAACUAUUUAAUUUAUUUGUAUAAAACCCAGAGCCAGUAGCCUACCUGUAAUGGUAUUUGCCAUCUACUCGUAACAGAGCAAUACUGAUUUUAUAUCCUGGGCGUGCACUACAUGUCAAAUAUUUAAUGGAAAAAAAGAAAAAUAAAAACCGGCUGAUCCAAGAACUGGUGGCUCUAUACUUGGGAUUCAAUAACUUUCUCACCCCUUCUUCCCCCCUCCCCUCUGCAUCCUUCUCCUCUACCUCUGUCCCCUCUUUCACUUACUUGGAAGAUGUUAUUGUUUAAUGUGGCACAUUCCCAAGCUGCUAGACUAGGACAGUAAAAUUAUUCACUGACUUUACUGUACUCUUCUACCAGUCAGUCAUUUUUUAAGCUUUCAGCCCUCCUUCCCAUCCACCCCCACCUCCAGUCCCCAAUUAAAUUCUCUCUGGAGUUUCUUACCCCUCCCCUUGCUCCUUCUUUGCUAGGCAGGAUCUGGAAAAAAGAAAUCAAGGCCAAGCUCAACAAAACUACUGCUGCGUAAUAGCAGUCCUUUUUCACACACAGAUGGUCAACCAGAAGAAUGAGAGCUUUAUAAGACAGACAUCAUGCUGGCCCUAGGAAUCCUGUUCUCCUGGACCUCAGCAGGAGUUUUUCAUCACCAAAGUGGAUAAUAAGUCUGUCAGGCACCUCAUACACAUCAAACAGAAGCUGCCAAUGAGUAACUUAUUGCAGGAUAUGAAGAGGACACACUGGCAGAGCUGUUUCACUGAAUGUUACAGACAACUUGGCUCCCAUGUUCCUAGCUCAGUCUGGUGCUGUCAAGCCCUCAAGUACAUUCUCCAAGGGCUCCCAGGCCUCAUUCAGUGCAUGGAAUAAAUGAUGAUCACUCAGAGAACAACUAUUCAACACUCUUCAGGUCCUGCUUGGAAGACAGACUUAACUUCCUCAUAGGCCAUUUCUAUGGCAUGCAUCAGUAGAAAGCGAGAACUUUACAAACAGCAAUUCAUUUAUUUUCACAAUGCCCUGGUAAAAUGACAACAUGUUGUUGUAAUAGCUGCUCAAAAACACAGAAUUUAGGAUUCACAACAAGCACUACUGUUCCAAAAUCUUCUACCCAUUCCCACUAAUCAUGACUCCUUCAAACCUGUCUCUAAUACAACCCCAUCUCUUCCCAAGCACUGUCUCUGUGUAUCAGUCCCAUCGUCUCUAGCUAAUCUCAGUCUCCAAUGCUCUGGCUUCUCCUCCCGUUCUCUGCCCCCUUGCAGUUAUAGUUUCUCCACUCAAGACUGGGAGUCAAGGGAAACUCUCCUUCUCAUUUUAGUGCCAGGUCAUAUUGACCACCCAUGGUCCUAAAACCAGUCUUUUCCCUAGGCUCCUCAUUUAUCUUGCUCUUCCAAGUGCCCCCCUUCCCUCACCCACAGAUCUUUGUCCCUGUCUCUUUCCCCAACAAGAGUGAAAAGUUCUUCAUCAGAUAUUUCUCUUCCCCUUGUCCCUUGUGUUUUCCCUUCAGUCCUAAUCUUUCCCAAUCAGCCCCAUUCUUUGCCCUACCUACUCAUUGCUAGUCCUCUCCUUCUUCCUCUUGUUCCUCUGCAUCUAAGUCGUCUUCCCCAUUGCAUCAGAUUUCCCUUCAUAAUUUCUAGUUCUUUCCCAAACUUUUCCACCAGUACCACAACCACAUUCAGGUCCAGCUACCCGACUUACCUUUAGUCCCACACCCCCAGGCUCCCUGUGACACUCUAUUCCCACAUUCUCCUCCUCUCCCUAACCUAGGCCAUGACCCCUCUAAGUUUGAAUCAGGAAGCCUCCUCCUCUUAGAAACAGCUGGGUAGUGCUGAGAGCGCUAGAGAGAAAAAAAAAAUCCCCAUUUUCAUUUUCUGGUACUAGGUAUCGAGCCAGGAUGGCACACAGUGGCUCAGAGUUGCAAUUUCAGAUAAAAUCUUACUCAGGCCUGAACCUGGAGCUUGAGCAAGAUGAACAGAAUCUUUAAGAAAUCCAUAUAUUAAGAGCCAAGAUGUCUCCACUAAGCAUACGUAUUAACUGCAGCUUUUCAGAAAGUUAUAACUUGGUCAGAUGUGGGAGGAUUUUCAGGGAAUGUAUAAAGGCAUUCAAGCAAAUUUCAAGUCUCUCCCUCAAAGAAUGUGGGCAUUAGAGUUUUAUAAGGAAAAGGUCACCCUGACUUUUUGACAUGGACAGAAACAAUGUAUUUUUCCAUAGCUUGAUUCCUGGAAAUGGCUAGAGAAUUUUUACUCUGAGUUUUCUAUUCAAGGCAGAGAGGAAAACUGGCCUGAGGCAGGCACCUGACAGAGAAAAUUUCAGCCCAAAUGAUUAGUUUGGCAAGUUAUAAACAACUGAAAGCAGGGUCUUCUAAUGUGUCAGGCAACCUUAAUAAUAGGUGGUGCUACCAGCCUGCCUAUAAUUUAGGGAAAGAAAAGUUAAUCAAAACAUUUCAAUAGCUUUGGCAUCCUGAAGGAAGUGUGGUUUCAGACCAGCCAGACAGGGAGAGGAAGAAAAUGGGCACAUCUUUCCAGUGUGGGCACACCUUUCUGAUUAAUCACAUUAAAAAGCAAAGCAGUGUGGACCUAUCGUUCCCUCGCACGGCAGGGAAAAAUGUGAAGAACCGAUCAGCAGGAAAGAGGUGAAAAAAUUAAUUAGAUACUCAAAUGGAGCGAACUGUAUGUUGGCGUUUGAACAGCAAUUCAAAAUAAGCAGCAGAGAGAUGCAAGAGGUAACUGAACAUUGACCCCUGGAAAAUAACUGGUUGGCAGCUGCAGUUCGCUGAGAUUUUUCAUUCUGUAUUCAAACCAAAGUCAAGUCAAAGCUAGUAAAGCUGAGAACAGGCUAACAAACCAAAUUAAACAUGUAUGUGUGGAUGUAUUGAACAACCCAAAACCUAGAAAUUCCCUGCUGUGGAGAAGGGUUUACACUCAGUUAACACCAACCCUAUCUUAAUACUAAGGAAAAGAAAUCAGAGAAAAAACAGAUGAAAGUUUAUUUUCCUUUUGAUAAAGCAAAGUAAAUUGAGUUUUGGCAGUGGGCCAGACACCAAUUUGACCCUCCCUCAGUACUGUAAAUUAAUCUUACACUGGAUUGGGGGG